rnacentral:misc_RNA from 1 species
AGCAAUACAAUCUAUGAUAGGCAGUUAGGAAAUAUUGAAAAAAGAAGUUGAAUUCUUGUGUUCUGUGAAAUAUGCUUUUGUUUUAUUUGGCAGGUUUUCUUAGUCUGCAUUAAACAUUUUGGCUUUCAUGUGCUUUGGUUGGUUCUGUUUUGUAUUGACUUGUAAUGAAGUUGCUGAUUUUGUCUUCUUGAGUUGCUAAACACUUCUAAUUGCUUCAAAGGGUGUGAAAAAAAAAAAGUGGUAUACAGUAUGAACGUGUUCAUUAAUUUUCAUAGGCUGGGAGUGCUUGGAGCUGGG